rnacentral:rRNA from 8 species
AGAGUUUGAUCAUGGCUCAGAUUGAACGCUGGCGGCAGGCCUAACACAUGCAAGUCGAACGGUAACAGGAAGCAGCUUGCUGCUUUGCUGACGAGUGGCGGACGGGUGAGUAAUGUCUGGGAAACUGCCUGAUGGAGGGGGAUAACUACUGGAAACGGUAGCUAAUACCGCAUAAUGUCGCAAGACCAAAGAGGGGGACCUUCGGGCCUCUUGCCAUCGGAUGUGCCCAGAUGGGAUUAGCUAGUAGGUGGGGUAAAGGCUCACCUAGGCGACGAUCCCUAGCUGGUCUGAGAGGAUGACCAGCCACACUGGAACUGAGACACGGUCCAGACUCCUACGGGAGGCAGCAGUGGGGAAUAUUGCACAAUGGGCGCAAGCCUGAUGCAGCCAUGCCGCGUGUAUGAAGAAGGCCUUCGGGUUGUAAAGUACUUUCAGCGGGGAGGAAGGGAGUAAAGUUAAUACCUUUGCUCAUUGACGUUACCCGCAGAAGAAGCACCGGCUAACUCCGUGCCAGCAGCCGCGGUAAUACGGAGGGUGCAAGCGUUAAUCGGAAUUACUGGGCGUAAAGCGCACGCAGGCGGUUUGUUAAGUCAGAUGUGAAAUCCCCGGGCUCAACCUGGGAACUGCAUCUGAUACUGGCAAGCUUGAGUCUCGUAGAGGGGGGUAGAAUUCCAGGUGUAGCGGUGAAAUGCGUAGAGAUCUGGAGGAAUACCGGUGGCGAAGGCGGCCCCCUGGACGAAGACUGACGCUCAGGUGCGAAAGCGUGGGGAGCAAACAGGAUUAGAUACCCUGGUAGUCCACGCCGUAAACGAUGUCGACUUGGAGGUUGUGCCCUUGAGGCGUGGCUUCCGGAGCUAACGCGUUAAGUCGACCGCCUGGGGAGUACGGCCGCAAGGUUAAAACUCAAAUGAAUUGACGGGGGCCCGCACAAGCGGUGGAGCAUGUGGUUUAAUUCGAUGCAACGCGAAGAACCUUACCUGGUCUUGACAUCCACGGAAGUUUUCAGAGAUGAGAAUGUGCCUUCGGGAACCGUGAGACAGGUGCUGCAUGGCUGUCGUCAGCUCGUGUUGUGAAAUGUUGGGUUAAGUCCCGCAACGAGCGCAACCCUUAUCCUUUGUUGCCAGCGGUCCGGCCGGGAACUCAAAGGAGACUGCCAGUGAUAAACUGGAGGAAGGUGGGGAUGACGUCAAGUCAUCAUGGCCCUUACGACCAGGGCUACACACGUGCUACAAUGGCGCAUACAAAGAGAAGCGAUCUCGCGAGAGCAAGCGGACCUCAUAAAGUGCGUCGUAGUCCGGAUUGGAGUCUGCAACUCGACUCCAUGAAGUCGGAAUCGCUAGUAAUCGUGGAUCAGAAUGCCACGGUGAAUACGUUCCCGGGCCUUGUACACACCGCCCGUCACACCAUGGGAGUGGGUUGCAAAAGAAGUAGGUAGCUUAACCUUCGGGAGGGCGCUUACCACUUUGUGAUUCAUGACUGGGGUGAAGUCGUAACAAGGUAACCGUAGGGGAACCUGCGGUUGGAUCACCU